CUUGGUGGACUGGUUGGUAACAUAUGCGACUGUGAUUUGUCAUGUCGUGGGUUCGAGACCCACCACGG